rnacentral:piRNA from 1 species
UAGCAUCCUUUGGAAGUAAAGAUUUAUCUA